UCGGGGUUAGUAAGUUGGUCAUGCCUUCGGUACGUACUGGCUUUACUGAUUCCUCCUUCUUGACGAACCGUGAUGUCAUUAAUUUGGUGUUGCGGGAAAUCAGGACUGUUACCUUGAAAAAAUUAGAGUGUUUAAAGCAGGCUAACGCUUGAAUACAUUAGCAUGGAAUAAUGAAAUAGGACGUUAAUCCUAUUUUGUUGGUUUCUAGGAUCGACGUAAUGAUUAAUAGGGAUAGUUGGGGGCAUUAGUAUUCAAUUGUCAGAGGUGAAAUUCUUGGACUUAUUGAAGACUAACUACUGCGAAAGCAUUUGCCAAGGAUGUUUUCAUUAAUCAAGAACGAGAGUUAGGGGAUCGAAGACGAUCAGAUACCGUCGUAGUCUUAACCAUAAACUAUGCC
rnacentral:rRNA from 1 species